GGUUAGGGCUCGACCCCGGAGAAGGAGCCUGAGAGACGGCUACUACAUCCAAGGAAGGCAGCAGGCGCGCAAAUUGCCCAAUCCCGACCCGGGUAGGUAGUGACAAUAAAUACUGAUACAGGGCUCUUUUGGGUCUUGUAAUUGGAAUGAGUACAAUUUAAAUCUCUUAACGAGGAACAAUUGGAGGGCAAGUCUGGUGCCAGCAGCCGCGGUAAUUCCAGCUCCAAUAGCGUAUAUUAAAGUUGUUGUGGUUAAAAAGCUCGUAGUUGAACCUGGGCCUCGCGCAGACCGGUCCGCCUCACCGCGUGCACUGGUCCUGCCGGGGCUUUCACUAGGGGAUUCGCAUGUCCUUCACUGGGCGUGUGCGGAACCUGGACUUUUACUGUGAAAAAAUUAGAGUGUUCAAAGCAGGCCUAUGCUCGAAUACAUUAGCAUGGAAUAAUAGAAUAGGACGUGUGGUUCUAUUUUGUUGGUUAUGGGACCGCCGUAAUGAUUAAUAGGGACAGUCGGGGGCAUCAGUAUUCAAUAGUCAGAGGUGAAAUUCUUGGAUUUAUUGAAGACUAACUACUGCGAAAGCAUUUGCCAAGGAUGUUUUCAUUAAUCAGGAACGAAAGUUAGGGGAUCGAAGACGAUCAGAUACCGUCGUAGUCUUAACCAUAAACUAUGCCGACUAGGGAUCGGGCGAUGUUAUUUUUUGACUCGCUCGGCACCUUACGAGAAAUCAAAGUUUGUGGGUUCCUGGGGGAGUAUGGUGGCAACGCUGAAACUUAAAGAAAUUGACGGAAGGGCACCACCAGGAGUGGAGCCUGCGGCUUAAUUUGACUCAACACGGGGAAACUCACCAGGUCCAGACACAAUGAGGAUUGACAGAUUGAGAGCUCUUUCUUGAUUUUGUGGGUGGUGGUGCAUGGCCGUUCUUAGUUGGUGGAGUGAUUUGUCUGCUUAAUUGCGAUAACGAACGAGACCUUAACCUGCUAAAUAGCCCGCGUUGCUCCUGCAGCGCGCCGGCUUCUUAGAGGGACUAUCGGCUCAAGCCGAUGGAAGUUUGAGGCAAUAACAGGUCUGUGAUGCCCUUAGAUGUUCUGGGCCGCACGCGCGCGACACUGACAGGGCCAGCGAGUACUCCCUUGCCCGAAAGGGCCGGGUAAUCUUGUUAAACCCUGUCGUGCUGGGGAUAGAGCAUUGCAGUUAUUGCUCUUCAACGAGGAAUUCCUAGUAAGCGCAAGUCAUCAGCUUGCGCUGAUUACGUCCCUGCCCUUUGUACACACCGCCCGUCGCUACUACCGAUUGAAUGGCUCAGUGAGGCUUUCGGACUGACCCAGGGAGGUCGGCAACGACCCCCCAGGGCCGGAAAGUUAUCCGAACUCGGUCAUUUAGAGGAAGUAAAAGUCGUAACAAGGUC
rnacentral:rRNA from 1 species